rnacentral:sRNA from 7 species
UGUAUCUGAAGUCUGACGAGGAUGAGAACCUCCGGGGGCAAGAGGUUCGACUCGAGCGAAGCGAGAGAACGUUGCGUCAGCAACGGC